AUUGACUUCUUAUCACAUAGGCAUGUGGGCAGCUGGUUGUAGAAUUCUCACCAUGAUCAUGGCCAUCUCCUUUUAUUGAAAGAAGUGAGCCUUUUGUCCCUAGGGCUCCCUUCUCUCCAUUCUCUUCUCCUUAUAUAAUGAUGGUGACCUUUUGGAGCCUCUGACAGACCAAGAAGACCUCCACAGGUUAUCUCAUUUACAAGGAUACAAGGUGGGCUCCUAGCUUAGGAGUUACUGGCAACUCCUAACUGCUGGGAGACUGAAAGUCCGUCUUCGUUAAGAGUACGAUUUCUGGUGGAUCGACCACACUCCAGUGGGAGGCAACCCAUCCAGACACAUACGGGCAGCACUAGUUGAACUCAGCGAGUUAAAGAGGAGAAAAGGGGAAUAGGAGGCACCAUCUCAGGUUACCCCCGCACCUGCCACAGUAUUAAAUGGAUACUGAACCAUACAUUUUCCUUUCAUCUGUCUAUGCCCUCAGCAAGACAGACAAAGUGUGCAAUUCAGGCUCGAAGGCUCGGAGAUCAGCAGAUGUACGUGGUUGCUCAAAAUCGAUGGAUACACCGGUUGUCCAAAAUUAGUCUCUAAGCAGGACCAGAGCCCAGAUAACCAUACUUGGGAACUAAAUUGUGAAAGGGAGGUCCAGGAAGGCUGUGACAAACACCCAGGCUUCAAAGUGCUGUCACCAGAAGCCAGCAUCGCUGUAAGGAGCAUACAGGAUGAUUUUUUUUAAACCCCCAAUAUUUCUUCCUUUCUAUAUACUUUUCACCAACCUGUAAUGCAAGUUUAAAGGAAAAAAAAUGGAAACCUCAAUUCCCCAA
rnacentral:sRNA from 1 species